CUUUGGAGAAAGUGAGUGCUUGUGUCUUUCCUGCUCUGGAACUCCUUUUCUUUUUCCAGGUCAGAGAGGGGUGACUGCUUUUUUUGUGUUUGAACCAUCUGCCAUGUUCAGCUGCCGCAGACUACGAGGCGCAAUAUAUGAAGGUUCAAGUACCAAGACCUGAGCUCCAAAUUUGACUCUUAUAUCCCCAAACAAAGACGCUUCUUUCAACUCUCAUGAGCAGAAAACAUUGACUGUCAAUGGCUGAAAAACAACCUGAAGACCUGAAUGCUGACCGAAACAGUCUCUGACAAAUGGUAAGUAAAUACUUGAUCUGGAGACACAACUGGAGGAGAAGAAUGCCUUCUUUGAUCAGCUACUAAGAGACAAUCCUGCUCCUGGCCUAAUCCAUCAGUAGUCCACUCCCAGGUGGUCCAUAUCCAAUGCACUGAAGGAGAUCCAGGAAUCAAAGCUUCUCAGAGAAAACAGACACCAUCUGGACUCUAAAAGUGUUCCAGGAGAAUUCUAGGUAGCUCCCAGAACCUAAGAAGAAGUCCUUCAAGAAGAGGGCCAGACACUUUCUGUGUGCGAGGAACAAAAAAAGAUUAAAUGACAAUAAGCCUUGAUAUUACAGUGUCAGCCUCAAGCCACAAAUUCAUUUUUUUGAAAUAGUUUUUAAGUUUAAGUUUAGGCAUUUUAUUAAGUUCAAUGUUUUUUCUACUUAUUUUCUGUAAUUCCUUUGUAAUUGCUUUUUUACUUGAGUGUGUGGUUUUAAACAUUUUAUCUCUCAUUCUCUCUGUUUUUUAUUGUAUCCUUUCCUAGAGGUUUUCCUACAUUUGGAAGAGCUCCUUCCUCUGCAUCAUCAU